rnacentral:rRNA from 1 species
GACGAACGCUGGCGGCGUGCCUAAUACAUGCAAGUCUAGCGAAUCGAUGGGAGCUUGCUCCCUGAGAUUAGCGGCGGACGGGUGAGUAACACGUGGGUAACCUGCCUGUAAGACUGGGAUAACUUCGGGAAACCGGAGCUAAUACCGGAUACUUUCUUUUCUCGCAUGAGGGAAGAUGGAAAGAUGGUUCUGCUAUCACUUACAGAUGGACCCGCGGGGCAUUAGCUAGUUGGUGAGGUAACGGCUCACCAAGGCGACGAUGCGUAGCCGACCUGAGAGGGUGAUCGGCCAACCGGGGACGAGGACACGGCCCAGACUCCUACGGGAGGCAGCAGUAGGGAAUCUUCCGCAAUGGACGAAAGUCUGACGGAGCAACGCCGCGUGAGCGAAGAAGGCCUUCGGGUCGUAAAGCUCUGUUGUUAGGGAAGAACAAGUACGAGAGUAACUGCUCGUACCUUGACGGUACCUAACCAGAAAGCCACGGCUAACUACGUGCCAGCCGCCGCCGUAACAC